CUGGCGGGGUGCGUGAGACAUGCAAGUCGAACGGGGUUCAUCGGGCUUGCUCGGUGAACCUAGUGGCGGACGGCUGAGUAACGCGUAGGUGACCUGCCCGGAAGUGGGGAAUAACUGCCCGAAAGGGUGGCUAAUACCGCAUGUGGUCGGCGAAUCAGUUCGUCGUCCAAAGCCGCAAGGCGCUUCCGGAGGGGCCUGCGUCCGAUUAGCUAGUUGGUGGGGUAAUGGCUCACCAAGGUGACGAUCGGUAGCUGGUCUGAGAGGAUGAUCAGCCAGACUGGGACUGAGAACGGCCCAUACUCCUACGGGAGGCAGCAGUCGGGAAUUUUGCCCAAUGGACGAAAGUCUGAGGCAGCAACUCCGCGUGAGGGACGAAGGCCUUCGGGUUGUAAACCUCUUUUCUCAGGGAAGAUCCAAGACGGUACCUGAGGAAUAAGCCACGGCUAACUACGUGCCAGCAGCCGCGGUAAUACGUAGGUGGCGAGCGUUGUCCGGAUUUACUGGGCGUAAAGAGCGCGCAGGCGGCUGGGUAAGUCCGAUGUGAAAGCUUCCGGCUUAACUGGAAAACGGCAUCGGAAACUGCUCGGCUUGAAGGUGGGAGAGGGUAGCGGAAUUCCCGGUGUAGUGGUGAAAUGCCUAGAUAUCGGGAGGAACACCAGUGGCGAAGGCCGCUACCUGGCCCAUUCUUGACGCUGAGGCGCGAAAGCUAGGGGAAGCGAACGGGAUUAGAUACCCCGGUAGUCCUAGCCGUAAACGAUGAACACUAGGCGUAGUCGGUAUCGACCCCGGCUGUGCCGUAGCCAACGCAUUAAGUGUUCCGCCUGGGGAGUACGGCCGCAAGGCUAAAACUCAAAGGAAUUGACGGGGGCCCGCACAAGCAGCGGAGCGUGUGGUUUAAUUCGUCGGUACGCGAAGAACCUUACCAGGGCUUGACAUGCACCGGAAAACGGCGGAAACGUCGUCCUCCCGCAAGGGAUCGGUGUGCAGGUGUUGCAUGGCUGUCGUCAGCUCAUGUCGUGAGAUGUUGGGUUAAGUCCCGCAACGAGCGCCACCCCCGUGGCAUGUUGUACCACUCAUGCCAGACUGCCGAGAGAAACUCGGAGGAAGGUGGGGAUGAAGUCAAGUCAGCAUGGCCCUUACGCCCUGGGCUACACACACGCUACAAUGGCCGGUACAACGGGUUGCCAAGCCGCGAGGUGGAGCUAAUCCCUCAAAGCCGGUCUCAGUUCGGAUUGCAGGCUGCAACUCGCCUGCAUGAAGCUGGAGUUGCUAGUGACCGCAGGUCAGCACACUGCGGUGAAUAUGUUCCCGGGCCUUGUACACACCGCCCGUCACGUCAUGAAAGCCGAUAACACCCGAAGCCGGUGGGCCAACCGCAAGGAGGCAACCGUCGAAGGUGGGAUUGGUGAUUGGGACGAAGU
rnacentral:rRNA from 1 species